rnacentral:tRNA from 1 species
AAGAAGAACUGACAUCAGCAUUUUAACUUCUAAUUAAAAAAGUAUGGGCAGGACUCAUAUUCUUCUUA